rnacentral:rRNA from 1 species
AUACGUAGGGGGCGAGCGUUGUCCGGAAUGAUUGGGCGUAAAGGGCGCGUAGGCGGCCCGGUAAGUCUGGAGUGAAAGUCCUGUUUUUAAGAUGGGAAUUGCUUUGGAUACUGUCGGGCUUGAGUGCAUGAGAGGUAAGUGGAAUUCCCAGUGUAGCGGUGAAAUGCGUAGAGAUUGGGAGGAACACCAGUGGCGAAGGCGACUUACUGGACUGUAACUGACGCUGAGGCGCGAAAGUGUGGGGAGCAAACAGGAUUAGAUACCCUGGUAGUCCACACUGUAAACGAUGAAUGCUAGGUGUAAGAGGUAUCGACCCCUUUUGUGCCGGAGUCAACACAAUAAGCAUUCCGCCUGGGGAGUACGGCCGCAAGGUUGAAACUUAAAGGAAUUGACGGGG